rnacentral:lncRNA from 1 species
UUUGAUUUAGAUCCUCCGCGAAUCGAUUCCUAAAAAACCUCAACACUACACUUUUUAUCUUCAUCGUUUUUCUAGUACGCUCGUUUUAUCAUCAAUGAUAUUCACACAUACCACUUUUUGAUUCUUUUAUAACGGAACAUUCUCAUUUAUGUUUUUCAUAGAACUCCCCUCAUCGUUAUCUUCUGAUUAUUGAAAAUAAAAUAUUAUUUUUAGGUUUAAUAAACUUUUAAAAAUCCUUUCUCAAAGUAUAAAGAAGAAAAUAUCUCUGUUACUUGAAACAGGGGAUGGUCUACUCAGAAAGCUAUUUGCCAGAGCCGGCUCUUGGGGGAGCCAAAUGAAGCUUUCGGCCUCCCAUGGCCUCCAAUUUUCACUCAGGGUUUUUAUAGUUUUAACAAUAUUUUCUGCAGGGAAGAAAGCAUAGUAUGGUUCUAUAAUUUCCGAUUAAUCUCUACUUUAUGUAGUUUUGGAUUUUUUUAAGCUACUUCCAAAUAGUAAUGUAUGUAAAGUCUGAGACGGUAGUGGUAGCUUGUGAUUUCUUUUAUUAUCUUCAGAUGAAGUGAGAAGAGGGGUUUUUGCAGAGGUAUGGCUGAAGAAAUAAAGGAUGUUGAUGUGUGAAGAAGGCUCUUGCAAAGAAAUGGAUGGAUGUAAUGAUCCGACUCAAAAGGACCAUGAAUUUUCCUAGUAACUUAGUUCAUAUCCAUUUGUUUUCACUUUAUAAUUUAUAUGCAUUUUUUCUUUAACUGUCCUUUACCUAUGACAAAUUGGGUAUGCGGCUUCUAUAAAAAAGUUAGAGAAAAAUAGGAGUUUGUAGUUAUUUUAAAGCAGUCAAUAAUCUCUCCUUGCUUUAAGAUAUUGUAACAAUAUAGAGAUAAAUCAACUUGGUUUUUGAUUUU